rnacentral:rRNA from 1 species
UACGUAGGGUGCAAGCGUUGUCCGGAAUUAUUGGGCGUAAAGAGCUCGUAGGCGGUUCGUCGCGUCGGCUGUGAAAACCCGGAGCUCAACUCCGGGCCUGCAGUCGAUACGGGCAGACUAGAGUGAUGUAGGGGAGACUGGAAUUCCUGGUGUAGCGGUGAAAUGCGCAGAUAUCAGGAGGAACACCGAUGGCGAAGGCAGGUCUCUGGGCAUUAACUGACGCUGAGGAGCGAAAGCAUGGGGAGCGAACAGG